GAGCCAGGACCAACCGCUCCUGGGUCUUCAUCUGGUGGGAUGUCAGAGCCACCGGCCUGUAGCUGUUGAGGUCCUCGGGGUGUGAAGUCUUUGGCACUGGUGUGAAGUGUCUGAGGUGGGGCAGCAGUGGGUGUGGGUGAGUCUGCAGCCGGUGUUGAAGACUGCCUCCUGGAAGAAUCAAACCUGUUAAAGAAAUGAUUCAGUUCAUUUGCCCCCCUCACAUCUCCCAUGAGCAGUGAGUUCUGAUCUCUGUGGCCUGAGAUGGUUCUGAGGCCUCUCCAGACUUUGCUAACAUUCUCUUGUUGAAGCCGUUUCUCCGUCUUCUGCCUGUAGCUGCCCCGAUCAGACCUCUCAGCUCUCUCUGCACUCUUUUCAGCUCCUCCUUGUCUCUGGAUUUGAAGGCUCUCCUCUUUUGUUUGAGGACGGCUUUAAUUUCUGGGGUAAUCCAGGGUUUGGAGAAACAGCGCACAGUCCUGGUGGGUGUAGUGUUAUCCACACAGAUGUUAUCCAGUUAUGACAGUUAUGAUGGAAAGGUCCAAAAUCCUAAUAUGAAAAUUCUGAAGGAAGUACAGGUUCCAAUAACAGCACUUUGACACAGUUCAGUGACGUGUGUAGAAAUAAAAGCUGCAUAUAAAUAACACAGAGCUGCUUAUUUUCCUCCAGUUGUUUAAACUAUUUGUAGAGACAGAGAGAAUCAGUCUGAUCACUGGACUCUGCUCUUUGUCCCUGGAUUUGGACCCAAGCAGACCCCGAUGGACUCAAAAACACAGAAACUACAACAUCCAAGAAGUUUUUAUCAUGUCUUCUUAUGUUUAUAUUUCUUUUGAUUAUCUUAAUUGUACAGCACCUUGGUCAAAACAUCUUUUUUUAAAUGUGCCAUUUAAACAACUUUGACUUUGACUUUUUGCUGCACUGAGAUUAGAAUGAAAUGACUUAAUCAGUUCAUGAACAGAAACAACAGGUAAGACAAGAAACGAAACUGUACUGAGCAACAUGUGCUGACACUCACUGCUGAGCCAGUUUGUCCAGAAUACUGACAGAGACACAAACAGGCAUCUUUGCCACCCACACACUUCUGCUGAACACACAGCUUUGACUUUUAAAAGCCAUAUCUACUAAAACCUUCACUGCUGAGCGUCUGUGAGACCUGACAGUAAAAUUCAUCAUCAUCAUUAAUAUGUGCUGACAGCAGCUGCUGGGCUGUGUAUGGCUGUCGUUUCCAGUUCUUUUGUUUGGAUCAAACUCAGAUCACUGAAAGAGCUUUCAAUGUCAAACACACGAGCUAACAGCCAAUAAGAAGAAGGAGGAUUUGAAUGUUAUGGUGAUGCUGCUGACACAGAUUUGUCUUGUAAAACAGGUUAACAAGCAAACACAGGUGCAUUUCCUCGUUGGUGGCUGUUUGAUACAGAGGUCUCUUUACUUUCAGAAUUUUAAUUCUUUAAACUUUUUUGAUUGUGAGGAUAAAAUUUUAAGGAAGUUCCUCUUGACCUCACAAAUAACAACAACAGGACCUAACAGUUUAAAAAAUAUCUUUCACUGGAUAAUUUUAAUUUUUCCAUCCUGAUGAUCAGAAGAGUUUUGAGGGUUUCAGAGAUCCUUCAGAACAACAGUAUUUGUUUGUCACAUGUCUGGACUUGCAGCUGCUCAAACAGGACAAACAAAGGUGGGUGUGAAAGUGUUGACGCAGGUCACAGAUGUCUGAUAUAAAACAGCUGACAGGGAAACACAGGUUAGUUUAGUCUGCAGCUGUUUGAUACAGACACACCUUUACUUUGGGAUUUUAAACUUUUACAUUUUUCAUGAUUUGAUUUUUUUUUAUUUGUCAAAUAUUUACAUCUGAGUAACUUUUCACUUGUUUGUAACAAAACUUCAGUAGCUUCCUUUUCACCUACUGAAAAACCGAUGGGACACACUGACCUCACAGUUUUUUUUAUCUGUCAGGAGAUCAUUUUACUUUUUCCACUCUGAUGAUCAGAAGAGUGUUUGAGUGUUUCAGAAAAACAAUAAGUGUUUAAAAUGACGUCUUUCAGUUUUUUAAGUAAUUUGACAGGCUGACUGAAGCCUGUGAGUUUUAGUGGAUUAACCCGUUACUGUAACCACUCACUGGUUCUGCUGGUUAGAUGAACGUCAUGUCACGUUAGUGUAAAACAUUUGAUUCACUGUUGGCUGGUUUCGUCUGUGAAAACACAUCAAAUUAAAUGAAUUCAAUGUGUUUCAUCAUCUGAAGAACCAAAAGCUGUCAGACUUUAUCUGACACAAGAUAAAGAAGAAAAUCACCUGAAUCACAAACAGGAAGUGUACUCAGUUACUCUCCUGUACUCUGAUUACAGUCAUGUAUGUUUUCUCUGUGUCUGCUGCUUCUUCGUCCUCACUGUAAACAGAUGUACUGAGAGACUCCUGCACUGAUGUUUCAUAGGAAAGUCCAAACAGCCUCACUGCUUCUCCAUAAAGAACAAAGAUUUGCUCUCUGUGGCUCCAACACAACUUAAAGACAAUCAAAGGUGGACAAAGUUCUCUGUGGUUUGAUGGAGGCUGCAGCUAAAUGCUGCCUCCUCCAUAGUACAAUAUACAUGUUUACAGUGACGUCAUUUUGAAGUCCUUUGGAUGAUGAGGGUCUUUAGUACGUAGCUGAUGGUUGAUGAUGAGAUGUUUGUGUUGUUCUGUGGAGAUCGUUCAAGAACUGAACCUGUUAAACACUCAGACCUGCUUUAGAUUUCACCGCUUUAGUUAUGACGCACUUAUUUAUGGUCACCCUACAGCAGCGUAAACACACGUGACUCUGACGUGACUUCCUGCAGAGACGAUGAGUUGGACGUAUUGAGUUUGAACGAGUGUCUAAAAAGUCAGAUCUGUUCUCAGUCAGAGACUUUCAGGAUCAUUUAAACCUUAAAUUUAAUCUCAUGUAGUCAGGAUUUGAACUCAGGUUCAGUUAUUUCAAUAAAACCAUCCUGAGACAUUGAGAACAGUCGAAGCGUCGGAGUUGAAGAACACGGAAAUGUCUGCUGUGACUGCGUCGCUCUGCUCGACUUUGCUGUUUGUCGGCCUCUUUGUGUUUGUCUCUGCAGGUGAGAUUCACUCUGUGGGACAGAGAGGAAAAGCAUCAGUCUGUUUACAUGUUAACAACAUUUCCUGAAGAGUUAUUUUCAUAUUGAUUCAGUUUUUCCGUGUUUGUGAAGGAGACACGAGGCUGGGUGGAGUCUGUGUGGACCUAACAUGUCGGUGUGAUCAGAUCUCACAGAGACAGAGAAGUGUGAUGUGUUGUAGUUUCAGGAGUCAGUAUACAGCUACAAAGCUUUUAGUUCAGUGUAUACAAACAGCUGUAGCUACAUAAAGGCAGCAUGCAGAGACUCACAGUGUCUCAUAAUGAGAGGCUGCUUUCUCUCACACAUUAUGUUCAGUUAUUAUCAGAACGUGUUUUUGUUUGUGGAACCUGCAGGAACUCAGUUCAAUGGCUAAACUGUGAAAAACACAAGAAACCAAAUGUCUGUGAGUUCAUAACAAACAAUAACAUCUUCUCACAUUAAUAAUGACGAUUAUGAAAAAUACUCUAUGAAAAU